rnacentral:rRNA from 1 species
CCUACGGGAGGCAGCAGUGGGGAAUAUUGCACAAUGGGGGAAACCCUGAUGCAGCGACGCCGCGUGAGUGAAGAAGUAUUUCGGUAUGUAAAGCUCUAUCAGCAGGGAAGAAAAUGACGGUACCUGAUUAAGAAGCCCCGGCUAACUACGUGCCAGCAGCCGCGGUAAUACGUAGGGGGCAAGCGUUAUCCGGAUUUACUGGGUGUAAAGGGAGCGUAGACGGUGAUGCAAGUCAGAAGUGAAAGCCCGGGGCUCAACUCCGGGACUGCUUUUGAAACUGUGUGACUGGAGUGCAGGAGAGGUAAGCGGAAUGCCUGGUGUAGCGGUGAAAUGCAUAGAUAUCAGGAGGAACACCAGUGGCGAAGGCGGCUUACUGGACUGUAACUGACGUUGAGGCUCGAAAGCGUGGGGAGCGAACAGGAUUAGAUACCCGUGUAGUC